rnacentral:rRNA from 1 species
UAGGGAAUCUUCGGCAAUGGACGAAAGUCUGACCGAGCAACGCCGCGUGAGUGAAGAAGGUUUUCGGGUUGUAAAACUCUGUUGUUAGAGAAGAACAAGGACGAUAGUAACUGAACGUCCCCUGACGGUAUCUAACCAGAAAGCCACGGCUAACUACGUGCCCGCAGCCGCGGUAAUACGUAGGUGGCAAGCGUUGUCCGGAUUUAUUGGGCUUAAAGCGAGCGCAGGCGGUUUCUUAAGUCUGAUGUGAAAGCCCCCGGCUCACCCGGGGAGUGUCAUUGGAACCUGGGAGACUGGAGUGCAGAAGAGGUGGGUGGAAUUCCAUGUGUAGCGAUGAAAUGCGUAGAUAUAUGGGGGAACCCCAGUGGCGAAGGCGGCUCUCUGGUCUGUAACUGCCGCGGGGGCUCGAAAGGGUGGGGAGCAAAAAGG